CUGCUGUGAUGACUUUGAUUGGGUUUCGCAUACUGCUGAGUUCCCAUGAUGCUUCCUUUUCUCUUGGCUGUCUGAGCAA
ensembl:snoRNA